CUGAUACUGGGGCUUGGUAACUGUUACCUGAGCUGAAUGCUGAACUGUAGUAGUCAGCUGUUCUCUUGCUGCCUUCAAGUCCCAUCCUUCCUACAAUAAUGUUCUAGAAAUUCUUCUCAGAUGGUCAAGUUUAGGGUGAAUUUCCAAUUAAUUCCUGUGCUUUUGUUCUGCAUUUGGGUUCUCCCUAUGGAAACCCUGUUCUCAUUCCCUGUUUUGCCUUCCCUUACUUCCCUGAUACUUGAUUUAAAACAAAAAAACCCACCACCUCAUAAAAAAGGUUUUUUUCCCUUUCCUGGGAUGUUUCUGCUACUCUGAUUCAGUUUAUGGCUAUUUGCUGCUAUCUUUUCACCCCGUUCUCUAGCCUUUUCCUCCUCUUCAUGUUGCCAUUAAGGAACGGACCCUAUUCCCUGCAAAAGAGAAAGAUAACAGCCUCACUCAGACUUUUCCGUGUAUCACACUCAUCCCUAGCUUGCAGCCCCAUGGGAUGGCAUGAGUAUCUGCUCUCCUUCCCUGAUGCUCCCUGCUCUCCAUUGUUCCAAGAAGGAGGAGUUCAGGAGCUGGGAAAGUUCACAAGUGCCAGCUGUUUUUACUAUAGCACAGUGUGAUGGACUGUACCAGACCCUUUGAGGCCCUCCAGAGGGCCUGGCAAUCUUACCACACCCCGUCCUAGAAAAAGACAGAGUGGAGUCCUCCAAGUGACCUAGAGUGGCUGCCUCCCCUGCAGCCUAUCAGGGCCCAGCAGGCUAGUAUAAAAAGAGCUGCAGGGCCAGAACAAGUUUAGUUCCUUGCUGGAGCUGGAGGAACAUGGAAGGGGUGCCUGGCUGGCUGAAGGAGCUACAGGACCUCAGACAGAGCAGUGCUGGCAGAGACUGUUAGGAGCGAGAAUGCACUCCGGGCUGGCUGCUGGGAUUCAACCAGGACAAGGCCCUGAGGUAGGGCCAGAUCUAUGGAAUUAACCCUUCAAAGACAAGAAAAAAUUCAGAUGCUAACAAAGUUUCAAUGAGACCAGAAGAGUAACCCUUUCAUUCUAGAAACCUCCUUUCAAAUGCCAAGCUGCUAAAUUUAACUUGCUUGGAUCUUUGUGAAGAACUAGCCACUGGGAUAAAAAACCUGGCAUUGGAUUUGGAACAAUAGUGGAUCCACUGACAUGCUCAUGAGUUUGGCAGACCUCCUUUCUGAUCUUCUGUAUUAUCCCGGUGGUGAUGAGCAUUGGAGGAAAAGCAUAAAAACUGCUCUUGGAACUGCUCUUGGAACUAGACUGAACAGAUUGCCUAGCCUUCUUUUUCAUUGGUGAUGUCCAUGAAGACAAGGAUGAACAUAAAUGUUAUGACGAAGCAGAACCAGACACAAACCCUUUUUUAAAAUGCUUUUUCUUUCCAAGUAUAAAAACCUGGUCAGCAGUGCUUUUAGCUCUGGCACCUGCUGGAGAGAAGACAGAGGAACUACUAUUCCCAGAAGAACAGGUGCUGGAUUCCACUGCCCUGCCAAUAGCUACAGGAUGCUGAAAACAGGGAGGGGCUCCAAAAUAUGGGAACUAGUCUCUCAUCAGCAGUCCAAUCAACUCUGAUUCUGCCCUUACCUCUACAGCCAGGUGACUACCCCACACUGAGGAUCUGUGGACCUGGCUCUGCCUUUUUGAAUAAGGCCUUUCUCUCGCAAAGGGCAGAUGAGUGCAGUAGGUUGUGAAGUUAUUCACCAACAUGAUCUCCACCCCCUCCAGAAGUGGAGGGUACUUGCUAUAGUGGGGGAAGAGGCCAGCCGGCUAUUGCCUAUAACGUGAAUGAAGAUUGAGCAAUUUCUCUGUAUGAAAUUCUGUUUUAUCUCCCCUGUAGAGAGAGAGAAAGCGGAAAAAAAAUCAAUAGGGUCCUGUGGUGUUUGAAUGGUAGAGUGCAUGUUACAGAACAUUUAUACCUCUGUGGAGAGCAGAACUUUGUGAACCUGCUCUGGGCACACAAUAUGCAUGUAUAUCUCAUGUGAACUACGACCACUGACCAAAUGUUUUUUCCCGUACUGCUUGUAAAGUUAUCUGAUUAAAAUAUGAUCAUACAGAUCAUUGUUCCAACCACUGUUAUAUAUUUGCAGCUAAUAUUGUACAAAGGUUGUCGAGUGAGGGGGUCUAUGAAAAGAUUAUGAUUUGCUGAUUAUGAUUAUGCUAUCUGUAUGCAUAUAUCAUUUUUGUAUUUGAAGUUAUAAGUAUUGGCUCUAUACUUGGAUUUCAAAUGUUUGCUCCUGGGGUAACGCCCCACGUUAGCUAGCCAGCAAAUCUUGGAGGGACUAUUCAAAUUAAGUGGCUCAUGGAGGGAAAUUGAGCAUGAACAUGUGAUUUGCCCAUGUAAAUCCAAACUCCAUCUUGUUGCUGUAAUUUUUCACAAUAAGAACAAUGGGAUGCCCGCCACAUGGCAAAAGCUAUAAAAGGCCCUGGGAACACCUCCCCUUUGUCUUCAAUCCUGCUUCUUAGCUUUGGAGAAACUUUGCUACACACUGAAGCUCUGAACAAUGGACUGAAUGGAUGUACUCCAGAGAUUUGACU